UUAUCUGCUUAGGGGAGCCUUUGGCUGAGAGGAUGUUUGAGCAUCGACCCUUUGAACCUGAUACAGUUUAUACUGGCGGAGGAAAAGCACUUGCAUGCACC
rnacentral:ncRNA from 2 species